rnacentral:rRNA from 1 species
GACGGAGGGUGCAAACGUUGUUCGGAAUCACUGGGCGUAAAGCGCGUGUAGGCGGUCCGAUAAGUCGAGUGUGAAAGCCCGAGGCUCAACCUCGGAAGCGCACUCGAAACUGGCGGGCUUGAGUACGGGAGAGGGAAGUGGAAUUCCUGGUGUAGAGGUGAAAUUCGUAGAUAUCAGGAGGAACACCGGUGGCGAAGGCGGCUUCCUGGACCGAUACUGACGCUGAGACGCGAAAGCGUGGGGAGCAAACAGG